AGUGAACGCUGGCGGCAGGCCUAACACAUGCAAGUCGAGCGGCAGCGCGUCCGACCACCCUCGGGUGGUCGGAUGGCGGCGAGCGGCGGACGGGUGAGGAAUGCAUCGGAAUCUGCCUCGUUGUGGGGGAUAACGUAGGGAAACUUACGCUAAUACCGCAUACGACCUACGGGUGAAAGUGGGGGACCUUCGGGCCUCACGCGAUGAGAUGAGCCGAUGCCGGAUUAGCUAGUUGGCGGGUAAAGGCCCACCAAGGCGACGAUCCGUAGCUGGUCUGAGAGGAUGAUCAGCCACACUGGAACUGAGACACGGUCCAGACUCCUACGGGAGGCAGCAGUGGGGAAUAUUGGACAAUGGGGGCAACCCUGAUCCAGCCAUGCCGCGUGUGUGAAG
rnacentral:rRNA from 1 species